rnacentral:misc_RNA from 1 species
AAUUCUCAACCUUAUCAGUUUAUUUCUGAUAGUGGUUUGGAUGUGGGGGUUUCUUGCUGGCUGAGGUCAGCUCCCCUUAAAUGCAUUAGCUGGUGCCCCGUUUGGACUGUCUAGUUGGUGUGAUAAUUAUCUACGCCAUGGAUGUCUGCAAUCAAUAAGGGUUUUAGCACUGCUUCUAACCGUCUGUUAAUUCAGACAAUACAUGACA